AUUGGCAGUGAACCAGGACUCCGUGUGAUGUCGAACAUGGUGGAGUUUGAGAUUAUUGUUGAGCUUCUUGAGAAAAUGGUUGAGCACGGUGUAACCCCCAACGCCAAAUCCUAUGAAAACUUGAUAUUAGGGAUCUGUGAGAUUGGGAAUCUCAGAGUUGCGGAAAAGGUGUUAGAUCAUAUGCAACAAAACGAAGGAAUAUCUCCUAGUGAGUUGGUAUUCAAUGCACUUAUUAGGUGUUGCUGCAAGCUGGAGAAGCAUAACGAAGCAGCAAAGGUUGUAGAUGAUAUGAUUUGUGUUGGUCACUUACCGCAACUAGAGUCUUGCAAAAUCUUGAUAUGUGGGCUGUAUAAAGAAGGAGAAAAAGAUAGAGGGGUUUCGGUUUUCCAGAGUUUGCUUCAAUGUGGUUAUUAUGACGAUGAAUUAGCUUGGAAGAUCAUCAUUGAUGGGGUGGGGAAGCAGGGACUUGUAGAGGCAUUUUAUGAACUAUUCAACGUUAUGGAGAAAAACGGCUGCAAGUUUAGCUCUCAGACAUAUUCAUUGCUGAUUGAAGGACCUCCUGAUAGCACAUAAAAGGGGUUGUGUAGUAUAUCAAUUUUGCCAGAGGAUCAUGCAAGACCUGAAAAAAAUCUGCAAGUAGCCUUGUGUUUCUUAUGAUAUUGCUACAGGUCAUUCAAUAAGGGUCAAACCAUGGCAUGCAUAGCCAUUUGAUGGAAUCAUCUUUUUGAUCUUUUGACUAUGAGACACACAAAGGAGGAGGGGAUAUUUACGGCGAAAGGCUCACUUUCUUGUUAUUAAGGCACAUCAGUUUUUUUUUUUUUUAAAGUACAGAGCUUUCUUCUUGCUUCAUCUUUGAUUAGACGUCCGAGGAGGUCGGAGGUUGUUUAUUUGAUAUUUGUUUCCGCCCGGACUCGUCCUUUUUACAAUUUGAUUACAAACAAACAAUAUAAAGAAAGAGUCACACACUAAUUAAAUAAAUAUAUGUAUAUGUAUCUGUUUGUGACAGUGUGAUUCCAAAGACCCAUCUACUCGGC